GUGAUGCCUACAUAGGCACUUGGGUUUGCAUCUGAUCUGAUUGAUAACUCAGCAGGUCGUCGGGCUGUUAAACAGGCCCUCUACUCAGCACUGGACCCUGAAGGAUAACGUUUGGCGAGCUACCCAGCAGAGAAGGGUGUAUCUCAACACAGCGUCUGCUAAAAGGUCACAGGGGAGCCAGAGACUAUCCUGCAAGCAACAGGCACAAGAUACCCCAAGGUCCAAGAUACCCCUGGACAGGAUGCAGGGCACAGACACUCACACCAGGGCCAAUUUUCCCAGAAGCCAAUUCAUCUACCAGCAUCCCUUUGAACUG